UACAGAGGCCUCGAGCGUUAGGCGGAAUCACUGGGCUUAAAGCGUGUGUAGGCGGACUUCUAAGUACCUUGUGAAAUCCCACGGCUCACCCGUGGAACUGCUCGGUAUACUGGUCGUCUUGAGCCUUCUAGGGGCGAGUGGAACAAAUGGUGGAGCGGUGAAAUGCGUAGAUAUCAUUUGGAACGCCAAUGGUGAAAACAACUCGCUGGGGAAGUGCUGACGCUGAGGCACGAAAGCGUGGGGAGCAAGCAGG
rnacentral:rRNA from 1 species